CCACUGUACCGUACCAGUGAAUAUUAUUACUUCAAUAUUAUUUAUUAGUGCAGUAAUUGCCAAGACAGAAGACUGCAGUACGAACUCGUACUCGUAGCAGCAGCAAUGCCAAGAAGAGCAGGCAGCGUAGCAAAAGCAGUCACAACAACGCAGACGCAAUAACAUUUUCAGCAGCCGUUCAUCUCAGAGGGGAUGCAGCGCCAAACUGCGAGGGUGAGGUGGUAACUCUCACAACCAAUGCCUCCGCAGGUUCAUCGUUAGCUACCCCACAGCUGAGUGCCAUACUGGUCAUGACGUAACUACAGAAACAGGAAAACUUGCCGGGGAGCUGAGCGAAAGGCAAGAACUUUAUACCUGUGCAUGGCCAUGAUCCCAUGUACAAACAGCCCCAGAGAGUACCCAUGCGUGCUGGCAGCUUACUCAUCUGGGACCAGCGUGUGGCGCACGGCAGUCGGCCCAACAACAGCACGCGAGCAAGGUUGAACUAGCUGGUGUCGACUUGACUGACCUGGGCAAGAAGCUGUUUGCCCUCAAGGCAUGGGCAUCCGCGCACACGAAGGUGCCCCGCGCCAAGGCUAAGAAAAAGACAUAGACUACGUGUUCGCAUGGCUCUUUGUACAUUCACAGUUGAGUGCCUCGUUUUAUGUGUGUAUGUUUAAAUCAUGUACACCCUCUGAUGGGAGUAUGAUAAUGUAGUCAUCUAGGACGGCUGGACUGUCCCUAGUGUUCCAAGUGCAUAUUGACGCUAACCUCCAAUGUUAUAUCCAGCAAGUAUCAGAUCUGCACUAUCGCACAUAGAACUGGUGUAUAUUUCUUUACUGUGUUGACUCACUACCCUACUAGCCACAGUCAUAUUAUAUCAACAAUAACGUGGGCACCGCA